rnacentral:rRNA from 1 species
AUUGAACGCUGGCGGCAGGCCUAACACAUGCAAGUCGAGCGGAUGAAGGGAGCUUGCUCCUGGAUUCAGCGGCGGACGGGUGAGUAAUGCCUAGGAAUCUGCCUGGUAGUGGGGGAUAACGUCCGGAAACGGGCGCUAAUACCGCAUACGUCCUGAGGGAGAAAGUGGGGGAUCUUCGGACCUCACGCUAUCAGAUGAGCCUAGGUCGGAUUAGCUAGUUGGUGGGGUAAAGGCCUACCAAGGCGACGAUCCGUAACUGGUCUGAGAGGAUGAUCAGUCACACUGGAGCUGUGACACGGUCCAGACUCCUACGGGAGGCAGCAGUGGGGAAUAUUGGACAAUGGGCGAAAGCCUGAUCCAGCCAUGCCGCGUGUGUGAAGAAGGUCUUCGGAUUGUAAAGCACUUUAAGUUGGGAGGAAGGGCAGUAAGUUAAUACCUUGCUGUUUUGACGUUACCAACAGAAUAAGCACCGGCUAACUUCGUG